AGCGCGUGCAGGAGACAGACCGCCUGGGGCAGCAUCUGUACUCGGCCUGGGAUUGAGAAAGCACAGCACAGACACAUGAAUAAUGAAACCCCAAUAUCGCCACUAAUGAGAGCUCCUCCAGUGCCUGGCGCACGGUAGCGCUUCGCACUGCCACCCCACUGGAUGAGGGGAGAGAUGGGAAAAACUCCCCCCUCCAAUGGUUUCACUGCAGAUCCUGAGGCCUAGAAUUCCGUGGUGGAAUGGAGCCAGGAGGUCAUGAGAACCACUCAAGAUCUAGUCGGCUGAAUAUCACACAGUUACUCGGGAACUCUCCUUCCACUGCCACGAGUGCUGCCAAACUGCCUCAGUGUGGAAGGUGCUCCACGGUCAUGCUGCACUGGGACCCCAAAAAGACCAUAACACAACUACAGUGGGCCUAGAUUCAACCACUGAUCUUCCGUGCAAGUGAAGUUAUUUUUUUUUUCCUUGAAAAGAAGCAAAGCUCUUACAGCUACAUGGACCACUGUUACCAAGAGGAGUAUUUCUUCCCUCAGGAAAAAAAAAAUUAAAAUAAAAGUAAAAGUUAUACCUCUUCCCUAGUGAUGGUUCAGUCCAGCCUGGGAACCGCUUGAGAUUCAUAGUCAAGGUGGCCUACGUCCAGCUCCCUAGGAUCCUUGAGAACUUUCUUCUGUCCCCACCCACAUCCUGGACUGUUGACUCCGGAGAGACAAGCCACCUCCCUGCCCACUCACAACUUGUCUAAGUCCAGGUGAUCACGACUACCAGGGACUGCAAGGGCGCUGGUCUGUGGAAUGUGCAUGCAGAGCCUCAGGGGGCAUGCGGGGACAGGAGUCACCGCAUGGUGUCUGCAGCAGUGGUGUGAGUCUAGCUGCCUGUCUUGAAAUCCAGGCUACAUCUGUCCGUUUUCCUAUGGCCACAUUAUUGCACAUUUUUGUACCUGUCUUUUCCUCUGCAAAAUGGAGAUAACUGCAUCUGCCUGGAGUCUUGUCAGAAUUAAAUGAGGCAAGGCAUGAAAUCGCUUAGGAGAGUGUCUGAUACAUUAUGUACUUUGGGGGCUGGAGAUGGUAGAGUCGUUUCUGACUAGGCACAACUGCCUUUCAGUUCUCCUUUCCCGCAGAACUGCAAUUCACCAAACUCCCGCGUCCUGUGCCGUUCCCACAGCUCUCUGCUGCCCCCUGCUGACAUCUUGUUGAUACUGGCAGUGUAACGGUUCUCAGCGUCAGAUAC